ACCGAAUGGCCAGCGUUUUCA
rnacentral:siRNA from 1 species